rnacentral:rRNA from 1 species
AGCCAUGCGAGUCGACAUAGCAAUAUGUGGCAUACGGCUCAGUAACACGUAGUCAACAUGCCCAGGGGACGUGGAUAACCUCGGGAAACUGAGGAUAAACCGCGAUAGGUCAUCACUUCUGGAAUGGGUAAUGACUUAAAUCUAUAUGGCCCCUGGAUUGGACUGCGGCCGAUCAGGCUGUUGGUGAGGUAAUGGCCCACCAAACCUGUAACCGGUACGGGCUCUGAGAGGAGGAGCCCGGAGAUGGGCACUGAGACAAGGGCCCAGGCCCUAUGGGGCGCAGCAGGCGCGAAACCUCUGCAAUAGGCGAAAGCUUGACAGGGUUACUCUGAGUGAUUUCCGUUAAGGAGAUCUCUUGGCACCUCUAAAAAUGGUGCAGAAUAAGGGGUGGGCAAGUCUGGUGUCAGCCGCCGCGGUAAUACCAGCACCCCGAGUGGUCGGGACGUUUAUUGGGCCUAAAGCAUCCGUAGCCGGUUCUACAAGUCUUCCGUUAAAUCCACCUGCUUAACAGAUGGGCUGCGGAAGAUACUAUAGAGCUAGGAGGCGGGAGAGGCAAGCGGUACUCGAUGGGUAGGGGUAAAAUCCGUU